UACGGAGGAUCCAAGCGUUAUCCGGAUUCACUGGGUUUAAAGGGUGCGUAGGCGGGCAGGUAAGUCCGUGGUGAAAUCCCCGAGCUUAACUCGGGAACUGCCAUGGAUACUAUUUGUCUUGAAUAUUGUGGAGGUAAGCGGAAUAUGUCAUGUAGCGGUGAAAUGCUUAGAUAUGACAUAGAACACCAAUUGCGAAGGCAGCUUACUACACAGUUAUUGACGCUGAGGCACGAAAGCGUGGGGAUCAAACAGG
rnacentral:rRNA from 1 species